GACGAACGCUGGCGGCGUGCUUAACACAUGCAAGUCGAACGGAAAGGCCCUGCUUUUGUGGGGUGCCCGAGUGGCGAACGGGUGAGUAACACGUGAGUAACCUGCCCUUGACUUUGGGAUAACUUCAGGAAACUGGGGCUAAUACCGUAUAGGAGCUCCUGCUGCAUGGUGGGGGUUGGAAAGUUUCGGCGGGUGGGGAUGGACUCGCGGCUUAUCAGCUUGUUGGUGGGGUAGUGGCUUACCAAGGCUUUGACGGGUAGCCGGCCUGAGAGGGUGACCGGCCACAUUGGGACUGAGGUACGGCCCAGACUCCUACGGGAGGCAGCAGUGGGGAAUAUUGCACAAUGGGCGGAAGCCUGAUGCAGCAACGCCGCGUGCGGGAUGACGGCCUUCGGGUUGUAAACCGCUUUCGCCUGUGACGAAGCGUGAGUGACGGUAAUGGGUAAAGAAGCACCGGCUAACUACGUG
rnacentral:rRNA from 1 species